GGCAGAGUGGCCUAGUGGUCUAAGGCGCUAGUUUAACUCACUAGUAUCUUCGGAUGCGUGGGUUCUAAUCCCACCUCUGUCA
rnacentral:tRNA from 1 species